rnacentral:rRNA from 1 species
UCAGAUUGAACGCUGGCGGCAGGCUUAACACAUGCAAGUCGAACGAUGAUUAUCUAGCUUGCUAGAUAUGAUUAGUGGCGGACGGGUGAGUAACAUUUAGGAAUCUGCCUAGUAGUGGGGGAUAGCUCGGGGAAACUCGAAUUAAUACCGCAUACGACCUACGGGUGAAAGGGGGCGCAAGCUCUUGCUAUUAGAUGAGCCUAAAUCAGAUUAGCUAGUUGGUGGGGUAAAGGCCCACCAAGGCGACGAUCUGUAACUGGUCUGAGAGGAUGAUCAGUCACACCGGAACUGAGACACGGUCCGGACUCCUACGGGAGGCAGCAGUGGGGAAUAUUGGACAAUGGGGGCAACCCUGAUCCAGCCAUGCCGCGUGUGUGAAGAAGGCCUUUUGGUUGUAAAGCACUUUAAGCAGGGAGGAGAGGCUAAUGGUUAAUACCCAUUAGAUUAGACGUUACCUGCAGAAUAAGCACCGGCUAACUCUGUGCCAGCAGCCGCGGUAAUACAGAGGGUGCGAGCGUUAAUCGGAAUUACUGGGCGUAAAGCGAGUGUAGGUGGCUCAUUAAGUCACAUGUGAAAUCCCCGGGCUUAACCUGGGAACUGCAUGUGAUACUGGUGGUGCUAGAAUAUGUGAGAGGGAAGUAGAAUUCCAGGUGUAGCGGUGAAAUGCGUAGAGAUCUGGAGGAAUACCGAUGGCGAAGGCAGCUUCCUGGCAUAAUAUGACACUGAGAU